CGGAUCAUUAAAAUACCUGACGUAAAGUCCAAUUCAGAGAUCUAUUAGAAUCUUUGAUGUGUCGCACAUGCCGCACUAACUAGUCCGUGCGUCUAUGUCGUAUUUAUUGUCGCAUGAUAUACAUGUUUAAAUGGAGUGCCUGUAUAAACAUAAUAAUUUGUCAACAUUUAUAUGAGAUAAAAGUAUAGUUAUCUCAUUCCUUUAUGAGCUAGAUAGAGAUAAACUUAUGUGUCAAAAAGAUAUUGAUACAUUUUAAUAUUCAAACGUUUUUUCAUAAAUAACAUUUAAAUAAUAGAGUGUUUAUGGGUAAAAAAAUUGAAUGGGUUUAUAGAAAACGACAGUCAACUGAUCAAAAAUUAGUCCCUAUCACGAAUUUUGUUCCAAUCUUAUUUUUUGGCUCAUUGACAACAUGCAGCAAUAUAUGCCCUUCAGCGACACAAUAAAGACUGCCUCUUCCUUCAUUCUCUGGAAAAAAGUCCCUUUUUUACCAUAGUAAGAAAACCCUAUUUUUAUUAAUUAAACAAGUUUAAAGUUUUGUUUUUUUCAGCUUACUGCCCCUGUUUGUCCUUAAGCGACACAAUAAAGAAUAUAAUUAUAAUGUAAUGCUUUAGUAUCCAUAUGCUAAUGUGCGAGAUGAAGUUGAAAUCCAUAGCAGCAACAGAGAAACUGUUUCCUUCCUUAAUGGAAGAAACUGCUAAAGAACAAAGGCAAAACAACGAAUUUAGAAAAUUGUAUUAACUCUUUGGGCCAGAUUCAAAAGACUGGUUAAAUUUAUAAAAGUAUUUAGUAUCCUCACUGUAGUUUUAGGAUUCAGUAUACUUAAAAUGUAAUGUCUUGUAUAAGAUUUUUAGUUUUUAGUAUAAGCAUUUAUCUUUGUUAAUUUACAUCUAAUCUCUCCUAUUAUGCACAAUAACUAAAUACGAGGCAAACAAAUUAAUAAAUAUUACAUUCAGGAUGUAAAGUGUGUUUUUUACAAGUAAAACUUGUGUCUUUUAAACGCAUAAGAUAUAGACAGCUAGAUGAUUUUUAAUGUAAAAGUUGAUUUUAAAAAAUAUACUUCCACUUUUCUGACUACAAAAUUACUUUUUAUCCAAAGAUGUUGGUACUAAAUAUAGAGAUAGGGGUUUUCAUGAGUAUAUUAUUAUAAUAAUAUAUCAUAAUAUGUAUUAAUUUAAAAAAAACUAUAAUAAAGGACAUUGAAUAUGGCAGCCACAAUCCCCAUUAAUAAUCACCACCAAGUAAAAAUAAAUCUCAAUACCCAAAAAAAGGAAAUAUAUAAAAUUUGAAGACAAACCAAAACAUUUUACCCUUUUGUGUCAAAAAGUAAAUAUUUAAUGCCUUAAUCCACAGAAUAAAUGGGCCUAAGUAAUUCGUACCACCUAUUCUCUCAUCACUUGUUAUAAACACCCCACUGAUACCGCUAAAAACUAAACUUAUUAAAUUAAAAUUUUUGGUUAAACUCUUUUUCGUACUUAAAUCUUACUUAUAUUUAAAUUAAAUAUUAUCUACCUAUCAACUAUCCUGAAUUUCUAACUUAAUAAAACUAAUCCCAAGAAUCCCGAAUAAUAAAUGUUAAGGCCGGACCUGUGCAACUUUUCACGCUUGAGUGGCUGUGACUGAGGUCAGACGUCUAACAAAAUAGUACGUGGGCGCAUGUAGUCAAAUUUUACGAAUCAAAUGUAUAAAUUCUUAAAAAAAUGCUUAAAACAUUUAUUUAUUUAAUGGACUGGUUAAAUAUCGCUUAGAAUAUUACUUUAUGACUGUUUUCACAUAAAAUUUUGCGAUUUAAACAUGCAUGUCAUGUGACAAUACAAGCAACACCGGCACACGAACUAUUCGCGGCACAUCAAAGAUUCUAAUAGAUCUCUGAACUGAACUAUACCUAAUAAUUAUAUUGAUCUUUGAAAGUUUAUAUUAAAACCCCAUAAAAGACAACUUGGUCAUAUAUGGAUACUGUACCACGUUACCAUAACCAAAUGCCUUUUAAGGUCAGUUAACGAUAUUCUAAUAACGUUUAAUACUUUCCUUUUACCCUAUUAAUUAACCUCUUUAUAGCAUGUAACGCGUAGGAUUGGUCACUAGCGUGGGCUACACAAACAACAACUCAUUUUCAAAGAGAAAAAUGUACAAUUUCGUUUCUUUUGUAAGUGACGUUCUAUUGCCACAGAUAAAGUUUGUUUAAGAGUUUUGAUUGGCAAUUAAAAAUAAAUCUAAGUCAUCGAAUACUUCA
rnacentral:lncRNA from 1 species